CAGCAUCCGCGGGAAUACGUAGGUGGCAAGCGUUGUCCGGAAUUAUUGGGCGUAAAGGGCUCGCAGGCGGUUUCUUAAGUCUGAUGUGAAAGCCCCCGGCUCAACCGGGGAGGGUCAUUGGAAACUGGGAAACUUGAGUGCAGAAGAGGAGAGUGGAAUUCCACGUGUAGCGGUGAAAUGCGUAGAGAUGUGGAGGAACACCAGCGGCGAAGGCGACUCUCUGGUCUGUAACUGACGCUGAGGAGCGAAAGCGUGGGGAGCGAACAGGAUUAGAUACCCCCGUAGUCCCUGUCUCUUAUAU
rnacentral:rRNA from 1 species